CAGUGGUGCAAUCUCGGCUCACUGCAACCUCCACCUCCCGGGUUCAAGCGAUUCCCCUGCCUCAGCCUCCUGAGUAGCUGGGAUUACAGGCGUGCGCCACCACGCCCGGCUAAUUUUUUUUUAGUAGAGAUGGGGUUUCACCAUGUUGGCCAGCCUGAUCUCGAACUCCUGACCUCAGGUGACCAACCCGCCUCGGCCCCGCAAAGUGCUGGGAUUACGGGCAUGAGCCACCGCGCC
rnacentral:lncRNA from 1 species